CGUGUAGGCGGGAAUACAAGUCAGAUGUGAAAUACUGCGGCUCAACUGCGGAACGGCAUCUGAAACUGUAUUUCUUGAGUACUGGAGAGGAAAGCGGAAUUCCUAGUGUAGCGGUGAAAUGCGUAGAUAUUAGGAGGAACACCGGUGGCGAAGGCGGCUUUCUGGACAGUAACUGACGCUGAGACGCGAAAGCGUGGGGAGCAAACA
rnacentral:rRNA from 1 species